AGCUGAUAUUCAUAGCUCAGUGGUAAGAGCGCUGGUCUAGUAAACCAGAGAUUGUGAGUUCAAUCCUCACUGGGGCCU